AUUGAACGCUGGCGACAUGCCUUACACAUGCAAGUCGAACGGCAGCACGGGUGCUUGCACCUGGUGGCGAGUGGCGAACGGGUGAGUAAUACAUCGGAACAUGUCCUGUAGUGGGGGAUAGCACGGCGAAAGCCGGAUUAAUACCGCAUACGAUCUUCGGAUGCAACAGGGGGACAUUCGGGCCUCCCGCUAUAGGGUUGGCUGAUGGCUGAUUAGCUAGUUGGUGGGGUAAAGGCCUACCAAGGCGACGAUCAGUAGCUGGUCUGAGAGGACGACCAGUCACACUGGGACUGAGACACGGCCCAGACUCCUACGGGAGGCAGCAGUGGGGAAUUUUGGACAAUGGGCGAAAGCCUGAUCCAGCAAUGCCGCGUGUGUGAAGAAGGCCUUCGGGUUGUAAAGCACUUUUGUCCGGAAAGAAAUCCUUGGCCCUAAUACGGUCGGGGGAUGACGGUACCGGAAGAAUAAGCACCGGCUAACUACGUG
rnacentral:rRNA from 1 species